GGUUGACUAGUUUAAUAUAAAAUACAGGUUUUGUAAACCUGAGAUAAUACUUGUUAUUGUUAACCA
rnacentral:tRNA from 1 species